rnacentral:rRNA from 1 species
AUGAACGCUGGCGGCGUGCCUAAUACAUGCAAGUCGAGCGAACAGACGAGGAGCUUGCUCCUCUGACGUUAGCGGCGGACGGGUGAGUAACACGUGGAUAACCUACCUAUAAGACUGGGAUAACUUCGGGAAACCGGAGCUAAUACCGGAUAAUAUAUUGAACCGCCUGGUUCAAUAGUGAAAGACGGUUUUGCUGUCACUUAUAGAUGGAUCCGCGCCGCAUUAGCUAGUUGGUAAGGUAACGGCUUACCAAGGCGACGAUGCGUAGCCGACCUGAGAGGGUGAUCGGCCACACGGGAACUGAGACACGGUCCAGACUCCUACGGGAGGCAGCAGUAGGGAAUCUUCCGCAAUGGGCGAAAGCCUGACGGAGCAACGCCGCGUGAGUGAUGAAGGUCUUCGGAUCGUAAAACUCUGUUAUUAGGGAAGAACAAAUGUGUAAGUAACUAUGCACGUCUUGACGGUACCUAAUCAGAAAGCCACGGCUAACUACGUG